rnacentral:rRNA from 1 species
GAUGAACGCUGGCGGCGUGCCUAACACAUGCAAGUCGAACGAAGCACCUUACCUGAUUCUUCGGAUGAAAGUCUGGUGACUGAGUGGCGGACGGGUGAGUAACGCGUGGGUAACCUGCCCUGUACAGGGGGAUAACAGCUGGAAACGGCUGCUAAUACCGCAUAAGCGCACGAGGAGACAUCUUCUUGUGUGAAAAACUCCGGUGGUACAGGAUGGGCCCGCGUCUGAUUAGCUGGUUGGCAGGGUAACGGCCUACCAAGGCAACGAUCAGUAGCCGGUCUGAGAGGAUGAACGGCCACAUUGGAACUGAGACACGGUCCAAACGCCUACGGGAGGCAGCAGUGGGGAAUAUUGCACAAUGGGGGAAAUCCUGAUGCAGCAACGCCGCGUGAGUGAAGAAGUAUUUCGGUAUGUAAAGCUCUAUCAGCAGGGAAGAUAAUGACGGUACCUGACUAAGAAGCUCCGGCUAAACACGUGCCAGCCGCCGCCGUAA